UUUUAUUACAUUUAUUAAUUAUUUUUCUAUUGCGUCCAAUCUUAACUGGAAGAAAAGGGUAGGUGCCAAAACAGGAAAGAACAGAGAGACUAUUGAAUUCAAGUUUGCUGAAAUUCUAGGCAGUUCUUCCAGCUUUGCCAUCUCUUGCGGAUUUAUAGUCUAAGGGGAAAUUGACUAUGAAGAAAUCCUUUGAUGAUAAAUAAGCUUAAAAUUAUCUCUAAAAGACUGAUAAUUUCUAGCAUUGGUUUUAAAUUCUGGGGAAAAGACGCAGUCUCACACACUUUGGGGAAUGUAAUUGGUGCUUAUACGUUGUAGUGCUGUAUACAUCGGAAUCUUAAAUUCACAAUAAAUUUCACCUAGCAGUUCCACUAUUUGGAAUUUAUCCUAGAUAAAUAGCUUAAAUUUUAGGAUCGACAUUAAUUCCAUUUCUCCAGCAGUCUUGAAAUAAUUGAGCCACAGCGGUGGUAGAUGGCAAACACAGGAAAGAAUACCUCACAGUGAGGCCGAGACCCAGUCCCCUGAUCUGGAAUCAACCAGUCCCGGCGGUGAGAGCGCCAAACUUUAGCCACUAGACUACCAGGGAACCACAAAGCGCAUACUUUUUUUUUUUCCUCCUUCAAUUGCUUCAGCAGAAAUUACGCUGACAUUGACCUCUAGAAAGCUCCAUCUACCCUUCCUGGUACCACCCGCCCAUCCAAGGAAUAGUCCCAAAAGACUGUCCUCUCCCUGCUUUCUCCAAGUUGCGAGCCCACACGCGACGUGCAGAGCUCUCUCCUUUCCUUCCAGCCAGUGGCGCUCCUCGAACACCUGCCAGGUUUACAAGUCCCGGAGCGAGUUGCAGCGUCCCGGCCGCACCUCACUACCGACCUAAAGAUGCGCCUUUGCUAGGCGGCACCGCGUGGAGAGACUGUCGCUGGUCGGCGGGGCCAGAGCGCACCAGGUUUCCGGGAGGAGGCUGGAGCGGGGAGGCGCCCGGGGUGAGACCGUGGCACCCUCAACAUCAUAAAGGACUCAGAUUCCUGCAUUCCCGACAUCAUAAACGACUCAGACGGAUGCGGAAACCGAGACGGCCUGGAUGGAAAACUCUUUCAAGGAAGACCCCAGGGCCCUGAACGGAAUUCCGGAUAUUUUCUCUACAACGUACUACACCUGCCUUUUCCCAGACUUUGAUCCACACAACUAUUCUCUUUCUUGGUCUGAAUUUUGGCAAACGACAAGCAAGGCAUAGAGAUCGCUUCAACUCGCUACCCGCGGCUCCCCCAGACGUUAGGGUUUUAGGCCGCCGUUAGACUUUGGCCCUGCAGGUCAAAAUCAGCUACUCUAGGCCUGUCUUCUCGGAGGCCAGUAGCAGUACCUGGUCCUCUCCGCGCGGCUUCUCCCGCCGGGUACGCAACCCUGCACCCCUUUCCUGUGACCUGCAGCGAAGCUCGGCGGCAGACCGGGUAUUCAACUGGCCAGGAGUUCUCGAGGCGCAGGUGCGGGUGUGCAGGGACGCGCGCGGUGAGUUUGCAGUUCCUGCCGGCUCCAGCAACAUCCCGGGUCAGUCCGAACUCCGAAGGCGCCAAGGCAGGGAGGGACCGGUAGGUGAAGGGCAGCCGCCCUCUUGCGCCCUGUUUCAGUCCUCCAGUCGCUGUUGAAUGGAGUUUCCGUCUCCAGUCUCAGCCAAAGCAGGCAAGGCGGACAACCUCGGCCUGGCAACCAGUAGUUUUGGAGAAAAGCCUGGCCAUUGU
rnacentral:lncRNA from 1 species